GAUGAACGCUGGCGGCGUGCCUAAUACAUGCAAGUCGAGCGGAAAGGCCCUUCGGGGUACUCGAGCGGCGGACGGCUGAGUAACGCGUAGGAACGUACCCCAAAGUGAGGGAUAACUGCUCGAAAGAGUAGCUAAUACCGCAUGUGCUCUUCGGAGUAAAGCUUCGGCGCUUUGGGAACGGCCUGCGUCCUAUUAGCUAGUUGAUGAGGUAAUUGCUCACCAAGGCGACGAUAGGUAGCUGGUCUGAGAGGAUGAUCAGCCAGACUGGGACUGAGACACGGCCCAGACUCCUACGGGAGACAGCAGUAGGGAAUUUUCCACAAUGGGCGAAAGCCUGAUGGAGCAACGCCGCGUGCAGGAUGAAUGCCUUCGGGUUGUAAACUGCUUUUAUAGGUGAAGAAUAUGACGGUAACCUAUGAAUAAGGAUCGGCUAACUCCGUGCCAGCCGCCGCGGUAA
rnacentral:rRNA from 1 species